AAUGAACGCUGGCGGCAUGCCUAACACAUGCAAGUCGAACGAAGGCUUCGGCCUUAGUGGCGCACGGGUGCGUAACGCGUGGGAAUCUGCCCUUGGGUUCGGAAUAACUCGGAGAAAUCCGUGCUAAUACCGGAUGAUGACGUAAGUCCAAAGAUUUAUCGCCCAAGGAUGAGCCCGCGUAGGAUUAGCUAGUUGGUGGGGUAAAGGCCCACCAAGGCGACGAUCCUUAGCUGGUCUGAGAGGAUGAUCAGCCACACUGGGACUGAGACACGGCCCAGACUCCUACGGGAGGCAGCAGUGGGGAAUAUUGGACAAUGGGCGAAAGCCUGAUCCAGCAAUGCCGCGUGAGUGAUGAAGGCCUUAGGGUUGUAAAGCUCUUUUACCCGGGAUGAUAAUGACAGUACCGGGAGAAUAAGCUCCGGCUAACUUCGUGCCAGCAGCCGCCGUAACAC
rnacentral:rRNA from 1 species